AACGAACGCUGGCGGCAGGCCUAACACAUGCAAGUCGAGCGAGAACUUCGGUUCUAGCGGCGGACGGGUUAGUAACGCGUGGGAAUAUGCCCUUCACUACGGAAUAGUCCCGGGAAACUGGGUUUAAUACCGUAUACGCCCUUCGGGGGAAAGAUUUAUCGGUGAAGGAUUAGCCCGCGUUGGAUUAGGUAGUUGGUGGGGUAAUGGCCUACCAAGCCGACGAUCCAUAGCUGGUUUGAGAGGAUGAUCAGCAACACUGGGACUGAGACACGGCCCAGACUCCUACGGGAGGCAGCAGUGGGGAAUCUUAGACAAUGGGGGCAACCCUGAUCUAGCCAUGCCGCGUGAGUGAUGAAGGCCUUAGGGUUGUAAACCCCUUUCAGGAGGGACGAAGGUGUGGCGGUGAAUAGCCGUCCGCACUGACGGUACCUCCACAAGAAGCCCCGGCUAACUACGUGCCAGCCGCCGCCGUAAAAC
rnacentral:rRNA from 1 species